GGGUAACGGCUUACCAUGACUAUGAUGUCUAGGGGUUCUGAGAGGAAGGUCCCCCACACUGGAACUGAGACACGGUCCAGACUCCUACGGGAGGCAGCAGUGAGGAAUAUUGGACAAUGGAUGGAAAUCUGAUCCAGCCAUGCCGCGUGCAGGAAGAAUGUCCUAUGGAUUGUAAACUGCUUUUGUAUGGGAGCAAUAAGGUCUUCGUGAAGGCCGAUGAGAGUACCAUACGAAUAAGCACCGGCUAACUCCGUGCCAGCAGCCGCGGUAAUACGGAGGGUGCAAGCGUUAUCCGGAUUUAUUGGGUUUAAAGGGUGCGUAGGCGGUUAUAUAAGUCAGCGGUGAAAUUUUUCGGCUCAACCGGAAACAUGCCGUUGAUACUGUAUAGCUUGAAUAUGGUUGCUGUGAGUGGAAUGUGUAGUGUAGCGGUGAAAUGCUUAGAUAUUACACAGAAUAUCGAUUGCGAAGGCAACUCACAAAGCCAUUAUUGACGCUGAGGCACGAAAGUGUGGGGAUCAAACAGGAUUAGAUACCCUGGUAGUCCACACUGUAAACGAUGAUAACUAGCUGUCGGCGAUAGAGUGUCGGUGGCCAAGCGAAAGCGAUAAGUUAUCCACCUGGGGAGUACGACCGCAAGGUUGAAACUCAAAGGAAUUGACGGGGGCCCGCACAAGCGGAGGAACAUGUGGUUUAAUUCGAUGAUACGCGAGGACCCUUACCCGGGCUCGACCGGUGCAGUAAUAUGGUAGAGAUAUCAUAGCUAGCAAAAGACUGUAUCGAGUGCUGCAUGAUGUCGUCAGCUCGUGCC
rnacentral:rRNA from 1 species